rnacentral:RNase_P_RNA from 2 species
UGGACCAGACUAGACGAUCGCGGAAUUGAAAAAUUUCGAGGAAAGUCCGAACACCAAAGGGCAGAACGCUCCAUAACGUGGAGGCACAGCAAUGUGACGGAAAGUGCAGCAGAAAACAAACCGCCUUGCAAUAUAUGCAGGUAAGGGUGAAAAGGUGCGGUAAGAGCGCACCAGUUUUUUAGGUGACUGAAAAAGCUUUGUAAACCCGGUUCGGUGUAAGACCAAAUAGAGAAGUGCUUGAGGGCUGCCCGUCCAAGCUUCUGGGUAGGUCGCAUAAGGUACAUGGUAACAUGUAUUCUAGAUGAAUGAUCGUUGCUUUUAUUUCAGGUAACUGAAUAAAAGAACAGGAUUCGGCUUAUUGGCUGAUCCAGCCA